GGUUAAGCGACUAAGCGUACACGGUGGAUGCCCUGGCAGUCAGAGGCGAUGAAGGACGUGCUAAUCUGCGAUAAGCGUCGGUAAGGUGAUAUGAACCGUUAUAACCGGCGAUUUCCGAAUGGGGAAACCCAGUGUGUUUCGACACACUAUCAUUAACUGAAUCCAUAGGUUAAUGAGGCGAACCGGGGGAACUGAAACAUCUAAGUACCCCGAGGAAAAGAAAUCAACCGAGAUUCCCCCAGUAGCGGCGAGCGAACGGGGAGCAGCCCAGAGCCUGAAUCAGUGUGUGUGUUAGUGGAAGCGUCUGGAAAGGCGCGCGAUACAGGGUGACAGCCCCGUACACAAAAAUGCACAUGCUGUGAGCUCGAUGAGUAGGGCGGGACACGUGGUAUCCUGUCUGAAUAUGGGGGGACCAUCCUCCAAGGCUAAAUACUCCUGACUGACCGAUAGUGAACCAGUACCGUGAGGGAAAGGCGAAAAGAACCCCGGCGAGGGGAGUGAAAAAGAACCUGAAACCGUGUACGUACAAGCAGUGGGAGCACGCUUAGGCGUGUGACUGCGUACCUUUUGUAUAAUGGGUCAGCGACUUAUAUUCUGUAGCAAGGUUAACCGAAUAGGGGAGCCGAAGGGAAACCGAGUCUUAACUGGGCGUUAAGUUGCAGGGUAUAGACCCGAAACCCGGUGAUCUAGCCAUGGGCAGGUUGAAGGUUGGGUAACACUAACUGGAGGACCGAACCGACUAAUGUUGAAAAAUUAGCGGAUGACUUGUGGCUGGGGGUGAAAGGCCAAUCAAACCGGGAGAUAGCUGGUUCUCCCCGAAAGCUAUUUAGGUAGCGCCUCGUGAAUUCAUCUCCGGGGGUAGAGCACUGUUUCGGCAAGGGGGUCAUCCCGACUUACCAACCCGAUGCAAACUGCGAAUACCGGAGAAUGUUAUCACGGGAGACACACGGCGGGUGCUAACGUCCGUCGUGAAGAGGGAAACAACCCAGACCGCCAGCUAAGGUCCCAAAGUCAUGGUUAAGUGGGAAACGAUGUGGGAAGGCCCAGACAGCCAGGAUGUUGGCUUAGAAGCAGCCAUCAUUUAAAGAAAGCGUAAUAGCUCACUGGUCGAGUCGGCCUGCGCGGAAGAUGUAACGGGGCUAAACCAUGCACCGAAGCUGCGGCAGCGACACUGUGUGUUGUUGGGUAGGGGAGCGUUCUGUAAGCCUGUGAAGGUGUACUGUGAGGUAUGCUGGAGGUAUCAGAAGUGCGAAUGCUGACAUAAGUAACGAUAAAGCGGGUGAAAAGCCCGCUCGCCGGAAGACCAAGGGUUCCUGUCCAACGUUAAUCGGGGCAGGGUGAGUCGACCCCUAAGGCGAGGCCGAAAGGCGUAGUCGAUGGGAAACAGGUUAAUAUUCCUGUACUUGGUGUUACUGCGAAGGGGGGACGGAGAAGGCUAUGUUGGCCGGGCGACGGUUGUCCCGGUUUAAGCGUGUAGGCUGGUUUUCCAGGCAAAUCCGGAAAAUCAAGGCUGAGGCGUGAUGACGAGGCACUACGGUGCUGAAGCAACAAAUGCCCUGCUUCCAGGAAAAGCCUCUAAGCAUCAGGUAACAUCAAAUCGUACCCCAAACCGACACAGGUGGUCAGGUAGAGAAUACCAAGGCGCUUGAGAGAACUCGGGUGAAGGAACUAGGCAAAAUGGUGCCGUAACUUCGGGAGAAGGCACGCUGAUAUGUAGGUGAAGUCCCUCGCGGAUGGAGCUGAAAUCAGUCGAAGAUACCAGCUGGCUGCAACUGUUUAUUAAAAACACAGCACUGUGCAAACACGAAAGUGGACGUAUACGGUGUGACGCCUGCCCGGUGCCGGAAGGUUAAUUGAUGGGGUUAGCGGUAACGCGAAGCUCUUGAUCGAAGCCCCGGUAAACGGCGGCCGUAACUAUAACGGUCCUAAGGUAGCGAAAUUCCUUGUCGGGUAAGUUCCGACCUGCACGAAUGGCGUAAUGAUGGCCAGGCUGUCUCCACCCGAGACUCAGUGAAAUUGAACUCGCUGUGAAGAUGCAGUGUACCCGCGGCAAGACGGAAAGACCCCGUGAACCUUUACUAUAGCUUGACACUGAACAUUGAGCCUUGAUGUGUAGGAUAGGUGGGAGGCUUGGAAGUGUGGACGCCAGUCUGCAUGGAGCCGACCUUGAAAUACCACCCUUUAAUGUUUGAUGUUCUAACGUGGACCCGUGAUCCGGGUUGCGGACAGUGUCUGGUGGGUAGUUUGACUGGGGCGGUCUCCUCCUAAAGAGUAACGGAGGAGCACGAAGGUUGGCUAAUCCUGGUCGGACAUCAGGAGGUUAGUGCAAUGGCAUAAGCCAGCUUGACUGCGAGCGUGACGGCGCGAGCAGGUGCGAAAGCAGGUCAUAGUGAUCCGGUGGUUCUGAAUGGAAGGGCCAUCGCUCAACGGAUAAAAGGUACUCCGGGGAUAACAGGCUGAUACCGCCCAAGAGUUCAUAUCGACGGCGGUGUUUGGCACCUCGAUGUCGGCUCAUCACAUCCUGGGGCUGAAGUAGGUCCCAAGGGUAUGGCUGUUCGCCAUUUAAAGUGGUACGCGAGCUGGGUUUAGAACGUCGUGAGACAGUUCGGUCCCUAUCUGCCGUGGGCGCUGGAGAACUGAGGGGGGCUGCUCCUAGUACGAGAGGACCGGAGUGGACGCAUCACUGGUGUUCGGGUUGUCAUGCCAAUGGCACUGCCCGGUAGCUAAAUGCGGAAGAGAUAAGUGCUGAAAGCAUCUAAGCACGAAACUUGCCCCGAGAUGAGUUCUCCCUGACUCCUUGAGAGUCCUGAAGGAACGUUGAAGACGACGACGUUGAUAGGCCGGGUGUGUAAGCGCAGCGAUGCGUUGAGCUAACCGGUACUAAUGAACCGUGAGGCUUAACCUU
rnacentral:rRNA from 1 species